AUUGAACGCUGGCGGCAGGCCUAACACAUGCAAGUCGAGCGGAUGAAGGGAGCUUGCUCCUGGAUUCAGCGGCGGACGGGUGAGUAAUGCCUAGGAAUCUGCCUGGUAGUGGGGGAUAACGUCCGGAAACGGGCGCUAAUACCGCAUACGUCCUGAGGGAGAAAGUGGGGGAUCUUCGGACCUCACGCUAUCAGAUGAGCCUAGGUCGGAUUAGCUAGUUGGUGGGGUAAAGGCCUACCAAGGCGACGAUCCGUAACUGGUCUGUGAGGAUGAUCAGUCACACUGGAACUGAGACACGGUCCAGACUCCUACGGGAGGCAGCAGUGGGGAAUAUUGGACAAUGGGCGAAAGCCUGAUCCAGCCGUGCCGCGUGUGUGAAGAAGGUCUUCGGAUUGUAAAGCACUUUAAGUUGGGAGGAAGGGCAGUAAGUUAAUACCUUGCUGUUUUGACGUUACCAACAGAAUAAGCACCGGCUAACUUCGUG
rnacentral:rRNA from 1 species